rnacentral:rRNA from 1 species
AACGAACGCUGGCGGCAUGCCUAACACAUGCAAGUCGAACGAGACCUUCGGGUCUAGUGGCGCACUGGUGCGUAACGCGUGGGAACCUGCCCUUAGGUUCGGAAUAACUCCCCGAAAGGGGUGCUAAUACCGGAUAAUGUCUUCGGACCAAAGAUUUAUCGCCUUUGGAUGGGCCCGCGUUGGAUUAGCUAGUUGGUAGGGUAAAAGCCUACCAAGGCGACGAUCCAUAGCUGGUCUGAGAGGAUGAUCAGCCACACUGGGACUGAGACACGGCCCAGACUCCUACGGGAAGCAGCAGUGGGGAAUAUUGGACAAUGGGCGAAAGCCUGAUCCAGCAAUGCCGCGUGAGUGAUGAAGGCCUUAGGGUUGUAAAGCUCUUUUACCCGGGAUGAUAAUGACAGUACCGGGAGAAUAAGCUCCGGCUAACUCCGUG